rnacentral:rRNA from 1 species
UGCCAGCCGCCGCGGUAAUACGGAGGAUCCAAGCGCUAUCCGGAAUUAUUGGGUUUAAAGAGCUCGUAGGUGGUUAAAAAAGUUGAUGGUGAAAUCCCAAGGCUUAACCUUGGAACUGCCAUCAAAACUUUUUAGCUAGAGUAUGAUAGAGGAAAGUGGAAUUUCUAGUGUAGAGGUGAAAUUCGUAGAUAUUAGAAAGAACACCAAAUGCGAAGGCAACUUUCUGGAUCAUUACUGACACUGAGGAGCGAAAGCAUGGGUAGCGAAGAGGAUUAGAUA